UGGUGAAUAUUGCACAAUGGGCGCAAGCCUGAUGCAGCCAUGCCGCGUGUAUGAAGAAGGCCUUCGGGUUGUAAAGUACUUUCAGCGGGGUGGAAGGGAGUAAAGUUAAUACCUUUGCUCAUUGACGUUACCCGCAGAAGAAGCACCGGCUAACUCCGUGCCAGCAGCCGCGGUAAUACGGAGGGUGCAAGCGUUAAUCGGAAUUACUGGGCGUAAAGCGCACGCAGGCGGUUUGUUAAGUCAGAUGUGAAAUCCCCGGGCUCAACCUGGGAACGGCAUCUGAAACUGGCAAGCUUGAGUCUCGUAGAGGGGGGUAGAAUUCCAGGUGUAGCGGUGAAAUGCGUAGAGAUCUGGAGGAAUACCGGUGGCGAAGGCGGCCCCCUGGACGAAGACUGACGCUCAGGUGCGAAAGCGUGGGGAGCAAACAGG
rnacentral:rRNA from 1 species